AUGCUCUACAUAGUCGGCCUAGGCCUCGGCGAUGAGCGCGACAUCACGGUGCGGGGGCUCGACGCCGUCCGCCGCUGCGCCAAGGUCUACAUGGAGGCCUACACCUCCCUCCUCUCUCUCGGCCUCGACCCAGCCUCGCUCGCUAACCUCGAGAAGAUGUACGACAAGGAGAUCACGGUCGCCGACCGCGAGAUGGUAGAGGAGCGCGCGGACCAGAUGCUGAGCGAGGCCGCGGAAGCCGACGUCGCCUUCCUCGUCGUCGGCGACCCGUUUGGGGCGACCACACACACUGAUUUGGUUGUUCGUGCCAAGAACAUGGGGGUAGAGGUUAAGGUUAUCCACAAUGCAUCUGUCAUGAAUGCUAUUGGCGUUUGUGGGUUGCAACUUUACCGCUAUGGAGAGACCAUCUCUAUACCUUUCUUCACAGAGACAUGGAGACCGGAUAGUUUCUAUGAGAAAAUUCAGAACAGUCGUCGACUUGGCUUGCAUACUCUUUGCCUACUAGACAUCCGUGUUAAGGAGCCAACACUUGAGUCCUUAUGCAGAGGAAAGAAAGUGUACGAACCAGCAAGAUUCAUGACCGUGAACACUGCAAUAAGUCAGCUUUUGGAGGUGGAGGAACUGCAUGGGGGAUCUGCAUAUGGUCCAGAUUCGCUAUGUAUGGGUGUAGCUCGCCUUGGAAGCGAUGAUCAGAAGAUUGUGGCUGGCCCCAUGAAGAAACUACUAGAUGUUGAUUUUGGACCACCCCUUCACUGUCUCAUUAUAGUGGGAGAGACUCACCCUGUGGAACAAGAGAUGCUAGAAUUCUACAUGAUCAAGUAG
rnacentral:rRNA from 1 species